rnacentral:rRNA from 1 species
UGGGAAUUUUGGACGAAUUGGGCGAAAGCCUGAAUCCAGCAAUGCCGCGUGUGUGAAGAAGGCCUUCGGGUUGUAAAGCACUUUUGUCCGGAAAGAAAUCCUUGGCUCUAAUACAGUCGGGGGAUGACGGUACCGGAAGAAUAAGCACCGGCUAACUACGUGCCAGCAGCCGCGGUAAUACGUAGGGUGCAAGCGUUAAUCGGAAUUACUGGGCGUAAAGCGUGCGCAGGCGGUUUGCUAAGACCGAUGUGAAAUCCCCGGGCUCAACCUGGGAACUGCAUUGGUGACUGGCAGGCUAGAGUAUGGCAGAGGGGGGUAGAAUUCCACGUGUAGCAGUGAAAUGCGUAGAGAUGUGGAGGAAUACCGAUGGCGAAGGCAGCCCCCUGGG